rnacentral:tRNA from 1 species
UUAACUGAAACCAAAACAGAGGUAUAUUAUUGUUAAUAAUAAAAUUGAGUAAAGUACUCCAGUUAAG